GUAAGAGCUAGUGUCGAGAAAAUCGACAGAGCCUUGAAUGAAAGUGAUGAGACAAGAACCGAUAUCGAAGGAACGAGCGAGGGAUUCUAUGUCUUCUACUUCUAUUUCUUCCACCUCGUUGCUCGUUCCGUAUUUGGAAUUCUGUUUACUGUUCUGCAAUAUACAGUAUUUUAUCCCCGUGGAUUUGCUUCUAAAUUUAAUUGCAAUCUACCAACAUCAGAUGUAACAUUACGGAGAGGAAACAAUACGAUUAUUGGUAAGUUAAAUUAUAUUAGAGACCUUAAGAUUGACGUUUACGGCAAACGUCAAACCGCUAGCGAAGUUUUUGAUUUUACAACUCUAUUAUAAUAGCUUUUACACCAG